rnacentral:rRNA from 1 species
UGGCUGGGCGGCAGCUACACAUGCAAGUCGAGCGGUAACAGAUCCAGCUUGCUGGAUGCUGACGAGCGGCGGACGGGUGAGUAAUGCAUAGGAAUCUGCCCGAUAGUGGGGGAUAACCUGGGGAAACCCAGGCUAAUACCGCAUACGUCCUACGGGAGAAAGGGGGCUUCGGCUCCCGCUAUCGGAUGAGCCUAUGUCGGAUUAGCUAGUUGGUGAGGUAACGGCUCACCAAGGCCACGAUCCGUAGCUGGUCUGAGAGGAUGAUCAGCCACAUCGGGACUGAGACACGGCCCGAACUCCUACGGGAGGCAGCAGUGGGGAAUAUUGGACAAUGGGGGGAACCCUGAUCCAGCCAUGCCGCGUGUGUGAAGAAGGCCCUCGGGUUGUAAAGCACUUUCAGCGAGGAAGAACGCCUAGCGGUUAAUACCCGCUAGGAAAGACAUCACUCGCAGAAGAAGCACCGGCUAACUCCGUGCCAGCAGCCGCGGUAAUACGGAGGGUGCAAGCGUUAAUCGGAAUUACUGGGCGUAAAGCGCGCGUAGGUGGCUUGAUAAGCCGGUUGUGAAAGCCCCGGGCUCAACCUGGGAACGGCAUCCGGAACUGUCAAGCUAGAGUGCAGGAGAGGAAGGUAGAAUUCCCGGUGUAGCGGUGAAAUGCGUAGAGAUCGGGAGGAAUACCAGUGGCGAAGGCGGCCUUCUGGACUGACACUGACACUGAGGUGCGAAAGCGUGGGUAGCAAACAGGAUUAGAUACCC